rnacentral:tmRNA from 1 species
GGGGCUGAUAUGAAUUUCGACGGGAGUUGGAUGGCUCUAGUUGCAUGCCAACUUGUGCUAAGUUGUAAAACUGGCUCUUAAAUAUAAACGCAAAUAAUACAAAUUACGCUCCAGCUUACGCUAAAGUUGCGUAAGUUUAAUUUAGCUUUUUGGAGCUGUUUUUAGUUAGGAUUCUAGCUACUUUCUAAAAACAUCAUUUUUGCUAGAUGCUAUCUUAUUUACCAAAAAUAAGAUUUAAGUUCCUUUGGUUGCCUUGUUUGUGAAUUUUUGGGUGUUUAGCAAACAAGAAAGAUUCCAAACCCAAGAAAGCAUGUAUAUCAAUUAUUGUUGGUCUGAUUUUCGGACUGGGGUUUGAUCCCCCACAGCUCCACCA